GAUGAAGAACGCAGCGAAAUGCGAUAAGUAAUGUGAAUUGCAGAUUUCAGUGAAACAUCGAAUCUUUGAACGCACCUUGCGCCUUGUGGUAUUCCACAAGGCAUGCCCGUUUGAGUAUCAUUAAAUCAUCAACUCUAAAACCUUUGUGGUUUUUUUAGAGCUUGGUCUUGAGGGUUUUGCAGGCUUUUUUUUUUUCGAGUCUGCUCCCUUUAAAUGCAUUAGCGAGACUUCCCUAUGCUGAACCGUCUCUUUGACGUGAUAAUUAUCUGCGUCGAAUUUUGGUUCUCGUUGGGCUUGCUUCUAAUCGUCUGUUAAAGACAAAACGGAUUUGGGUGCAUAUAUGCGCCUUUUUCCAAAACCUUUUUUGAUCUCAAAUCGGGUAGGACUACCCGCUGAACUUAAGCAUAUCAAUAAGCGGAGGA
rnacentral:misc_RNA from 1 species